CUCCUGAGACAGAACUAUAGCUUGAUCGCCAAAAUGAGCGCCGUCAGAUAAAAUAUAGGCAUCCUGUAAAGCUUCCGCCUCAUACUUUCCUGCCUUAAGCUUAUUAACUUUACCAUGGGCAAUUAAUAACACCCGGUCGGCUGGUUGACCUUCCUGUACAAUGACCUGACCACUGGAAAAUUCUUGUUGCACAAAGCGGGCUGCCAAGGCGUUGAGUACCUCAAUAUCCUCAAACCCACGCAGUAAAGGUAGUUCACAAAGUGUUUGGGGAAUAACCCGCACUUCGGCUCCUGUAUUGGUAAAGCUGACACGUCCAUCGCCAACAUUAUAAGUCAAGCGACGGUUAACCCGAUAAGCUCCACCCGUGACUUCUACCCAAGGCAACAUUUGUAACAACCACCUUGGGGUAAUGCCCUGCAUCUGGGGCGGAGUUUUCGUGGUUUCAGCUAAAUUCCGCGCUGCUUUCGUGCUUAAGCUCAUUUGCGGUUGCGCGUU
rnacentral:antisense_RNA from 1 species